UACGUAGGGUGCAAGCGUUGUCCGGAAUUAUUGGGCGUAAAGAGCUCGUAGGCGGUUCGUCGCGUCGGCUGUGAAAACCCGGAGCUCAACUCCGGGCCUGCAGUCGGAUACGGGCGGACUCGAGUUCGGCAGGGGAGACUGGAAUUCCUGGUGUAGCGGUGAAAUGCGCAGAUAUCAGGAGGAACACCGGUGGCGAAGGCGGGUCUCUGGGCCGAUACUGACGUGAGGAGCGAAAGCGUGGGGAGCGAACAGG
rnacentral:rRNA from 1 species